UUAAGCGACUAAGCGUACACGGUGGAUGCCCUGGCAGUCAGAGGCGAUGAAGGACGUGCUAAUCUGCGAUAAGCGCCGGUAAGGUGAUAUGAACCGUUAUAACCGGCGAUUUCCGAAUGGGGAAACCCAGUGUGACUCGUCACACUAUCAUUAACUGAAUCCAUAGGUUAAUGAGGCGAACCGGGGGAACUGAAACAUCUAAGUACCCCGAGGAAAAGAAAUCAACCGAGAUUCCCCCAGUAGCGGCGAGCGAACGGGGAGGAGCCCAGAGCCUGAAUCAGCAUGUGUGUUAGUGGAAGCGUCUGGAAAGGCGCGCGAUACAGGGUGACAGCCCCGUACACAAAAGCGCAUGUGCUGUGAGCUCGAUGAGUAGGGCGGGACACGUGGUAUCCUGUCUGAAUAUGGGGGGACCAUCCUCCAAGGCUAAAUACUCCUGACUGACCGAUAGUGAACCAGUACCGUGAGGGAAAGGCGAAAAGAACCCCGGCGAGGGGAGUGAAAAAGAACCUGAAACCGUGUACGUACAAGCAGUGGGAGCACAGGUUUACCUGUGUGACUGCGUACCUUUUGUAUAAUGGGUCAGCGACUUAUAUUCUGUAGCAAGGUUAACCGCAUAGGGGAGCCGGAGGGAAACCGAGUCUUAAUUGGGCGUUAAGUUGCAGGGUAUAGACCCGAAACCCGGUGAUCUAGCCAUGGGCAGGUUGAAGGUUGGGUAACACUAACUGGAGGACCGAACCGACUAAUGUUGAAAAAUUAGCGGAUGACCUGUGGCUGGGGGUGAAAGGCCAAUCAAACCGGGAGAUAGCUGGUUCUCCCCGAAAGCUAUUUAGGUAGCGCCUCGUGAAUUCAUCUCCGGGGGUAGAGCACUGUUUCGGCUAGGGGGCCAUCCCGGCUUACCAACCCGAUGCAAACUGCGAAUACCGGAGAAUGUUAUCACGGGAGACACACGGCGGGUGCUAACGUCCGUCGUGAAGAGGGAAACAACCCAGACCGCCAGCUAAGGUCCCAAAGUCAUGGUUAAGUGGGAAACGAUGUGGGAAGGCCCAGACAGCCAGGAUGUUGGCUUAGAAGCAGCCAUCAUUUAAAGAAAGCGUAAUAGCUCACUGGUCGAGUCGGCCUGCGCGGAAGAUGUAACGGGGCUAAACCAUGCACCGAAGCUGCGGCAGCGAACGUAUCACCCAAGACAACUUUGCGGAGUUGACGAUUGACGGAGCGAAGCGACGUCAAAGCGUUCAUUAAAGUCGAGUUGGCUUAGGGAUACGUUCGUUGGGUAGGGGAGCGUUCUGUAAGCCUGCGAAGGUGGCCUGUGAGGGUUGCUGGAGGUAUCAGAAGUGCGAAUGCUGACAUAAGUAACGAUAAAGCGGGUGAAAAGCCCGCUCGCCGGAAGACCAAGGGUUCCUGUCCAACGUUAAUCGGGGCAGGGUGAGUCGACCCCUAAGGCGAGGCCGAAAGGCGUAGUCGAUGGGAAACGGGUUAAUAUUCCCGUACUUGGUGUUACUGCGAAGGGGGGACGGAGAAGGCUAUGUUGGCCGGGCGACGGUUGUCCCGGUUUAAGCGUGUAGGUGUGUGUUCCAGGUAAAUCCGGUUCACUUUAACACUGAGGCGUGACGACGAGGCACUACGGUGCUGAAGCAACAAAUGCCCUGCUUCCAGGAAAAGCCUCUAAGCAUCAGGUAACAUCAAAUCGUACCCCAAACCGACACAGGUGGUCAGGUAGAGAAUACCAAGGCGCUUGAGAGAACUCGGGUGAAGGAACUAGGCAAAAUGGUGCCGUAACUUCGGGAGAAGGCACGCUGACACGUAGGUGAAGUGAUUUACUCAUGGAGCUGAAGUCAGUCGAAGAUACCAGCUGGCUGCAACUGUUUAUUAAAAACACAGCACUGUGCAAACACGAAAGUGGACGUAUACGGUGUGACGCCUGCCCGGUGCCGGAAGGUUAAUUGAUGGGGUCAGCGCAAGCGAAGCUCCUGAUCGAAGCCCCGGUAAACGGCGGCCGUAACUAUAACGGUCCUAAGGUAGCGAAAUUCCUUGUCGGGUAAGUUCCGACCUGCACGAAUGGCGUAAUGAUGGCCAGGCUGUCUCCACCCGAGACUCAGUGAAAUUGAACUCGCUGUGAAGAUGCAGUGUACCCGCGGCAAGACGGAAAGACCCCGUGAACCUUUACUAUAGCUUGACACUGAACAUUGAGCCUUGAUGUGUAGGAUAGGUGGGAGGCUUUGAAGUGUGGACGCCAGUCUGCAUGGAGCCGACCUUGAAAUACCACCCUUUAAUGUUUGAUGUUCUAACGUGGACCCGUAAUCCGGGUUGCGGACAGUGUCUGGUGGGUAGUUUGACUGGGGCGGUCUCCUCCUAAAGAGUAACGGAGGAGCACGAAGGUUGGCUAAUCCUGGUCGGACAUCAGGAGGUUAGUGCAAUGGCAUAAGCCAGCUUGACUGCGAGCGUGACGGCGCGAGCAGGUGCGAAAGCAGGUCAUAGUGAUCCGGUGGUUCUGAAUGGAAGGGCCAUCGCUCAACGGAUAAAAGGUACUCCGGGGAUAACAGGCUGAUACCGCCCAAGAGUUCAUAUCGACGGCGGUGUUUGGCACCUCGAUGUCGGCUCAUCACAUCCUGGGGCUGAAGUAGGUCCCAAGGGUAUGGCUGUUCGCCAUUUAAAGUGGUACGCGAGCUGGGUUUAGAACGUCGUGAGACAGUUCGGUCCCUAUCUGCCGUGGGCGCUGGAGAACUGAGGGGGGCUGCUCCUAGUACGAGAGGACCGGAGUGGACGCAUCACUGGUGUUCGGGUUGUCAUGCCAAUGGCACUGCCCGGUAGCUAAAUGCGGAAGAGAUAAGUGCUGAAAGCAUCUAAGCACGAAACUUGCCCCGAGAUGAGUUCUCCCUGAGACUUAGAGUCUCCUGAAGGAACGUUGAAGACGACGACGUUGAUAGGCCGGGUGUGUAAGCGCAGCGAUGCGUUGAGCUAACCGGUACUAAUGAACCGUGAGGCUUAACCUU
rnacentral:rRNA from 1 species